rnacentral:rRNA from 1 species
GUUUCGGUUACUGUGAAGCAGAAGACGGUGGUGCUCUAUCCCUCGCUCGGCGUGGGCCACCUCAACCCCAUGGUGGAGCUGGCUAACGUCUUCCUCCGCCGCGGGCAGGCCAUCGCCAUCGCCGUCGUGAACCCACCGGACAAGGGCGCCGUGUCAGAAGACGCAAUGGCUCGCCUCUCCACCGCCAACCCAGCCAUCACGUUCCGCCUCCUCCCCGUGCCGUCUUGCGGCAAGGACCAUUACUCCCACCCGGUCCUGCGCACCACCGACGUGCUCCGCGCCGCCAACCCCUCUCUGCGGGGAUUUCUCCGUACCCUCCCCGCCGUGGACGCCAUCGUGGUCGACAUGUUCUGCGUGGACGCGCUCGACGUAGCCGCCGAGCUCGACAUCCCCGCGUACUUCUUCUUUGCCUCCGCGGUCGGCGACCUCGCCAUCAUGCUCCACCUGCCGUACUACUACCCCGCCGCCCCGUGCUCGUUCAAGGACAUGGGCAAGACGGUGCUCCGCUUCCCUGGCGUGCCGCCGAUCCGCGCGCUGGACAUGUCGACCACCAUGCUGGACCAGGAGAGCGAUAUCGCCAAGGAAUGGUUGCGCCACCACAUGCGGAUGCCGGAAGCAAGAGGUUUUCUGGCGAACAGUUUCGACUGGUUGGAGGCGAGGGCGCUGGAAGCACUCAGGGGCUUCGUGGUGAAGAACUGGGCGCCACAGGCGGAGGUGUUGCGUCACGGAGCCGUCGGCGCGUUCGUGACGCACUGUGGGUGGAACUCGCGCCUGGAGGGCAUCGUGUCCGGCGUGCCGAUGAUCUGCUGGCCGCUGUACGCGGAACAGAGGAUGAACAAGGUGCACGUGGUGGAGGAGAUGAAGGUCGGGAUGGCAGUGGAGGGCUACGAGGAGGGAUUGGUCAAGGCAGAGGAGGUGGCGGCGAAGGUGAGGCUGGUGAUGGCGUCUGAGGAAGGGAACAAACUGAGGGAGAGGCUCGUGGCGGCCAAGGAGACGGCGGUGGCCGCCGUGAAAGACGGUGGGUCGUCUGACGUCGCGUUUCACGAGUUCUUUUUUUUUAUCAUCAGUACAGACACAAGCUCUCAUAUACACGCGCAUACACUCAUCUCUAUG